AAGUGUUCCAGAGUCAGGUGGCGCAGCUGUAUUCGCAGCUGGAAGACAGGAUCAGUGAGAGGACUGAGGAUCCCGUUUAGAGGCUGAGACUUGGGAAGGAAAAGUCACUAAAAUAAAAGAAAGAAGUGCAGACAGGCGAGGGACUUCGUAACCCCCGAUCGUUGGCGUGAACCGGUGUGGAGUGAUGUCCUGAGUGACGUGCCGCAUGUGCUAAGGGAGACGUUGUCAAGCAGACAUUCUAACUCAAGUGACUGGGAUUUGAAGACACUGAAGGAGCGCCAUUUUGCAAACUUAUAGUCAUUUAUUGUCGUUCUGCCCUGAAGAUUUCUGGCAGAGCUUGGAGAUAAUCGUGGGUAGCUGAGAAUAAACAGAUGUUCCCUUCUAAGUGACCAUGUUGUUAACACAUUUGAAAACAUGCCUUCCAGUGCACCACUUCCUCCUUCAACAGAGAUUUUCAGCAAACCUGUCAACCUGAAAUUUUUGUUUCAACUCAACUGCAAAUUCCAAAUGCAUUUGUGGAGCUGAACACUGGAAAGUACGUGAAAGGAGUGCGAUAAGAUGCAAUCGGGAAUCACUUCACUUGCUUUUUUCCUAUGAGUCGUCACCUGACUAAUGGGAGGUAACAAACAUACAUUAUAAUAUUUCAGCAUAUAAGUGCCUCUCAGAUUUUACUCUUUCACAACUGUGCCUGUGAUAUAUUCAGCAUAGAUUCUCCUAGGUUCUGUCUUAAGAUCAAUGAAAAGUGACCUCUUUGUCCUAGGAUCAUAAAACAGCUGUCCCUCACAUGAACUUCAUCAGCGACUACUUACUCCAGCUCAACACUCAUUCCAAAUAUUUGUUGAACUUGCUCCCAUUUAUUCCCCACACUCAGACUAAGCUAGUUCCAUAGUAAGUUCUUGGUUCAAAAAUAGUUUUUAAGAAAAUGUACAUAUGGCCUAAAAGCAUAUGAGAAGAUGAUGAACACCAAAUGCAUCAGAGAAUUACAAAUUAAAAUGAGACUCCACUAAAUACUUAUUAGACUGGCUAAAAUCUGAAACACUGAC
rnacentral:lncRNA from 1 species